UUUGAUCCUGGCUCAGAUUGAACGCUGGCGGAAUGCUUUACACAUGCAAGUCGAACGGUAGAGGGGGCAACCCCUUGAGAGUGGCGAACGGGUGAGUAAUAUAUCGGAACGUGCCCAGUCGUGGGGGAUAACGUAGCGAAAGUUACGCUAAUACCGCAUACGAUCUACGGAUGAAAGCGGGGGACUCGCAAGAGCCUCGCGCGAUUGGAGCGGCCGAUAUCAGAUUAGGUAGUUGGUGGGGUAAAGGCUCACCAAGCCAACGAUCUGUAGCUGGUCUGAGAGGACGACCAGCCACACUGGAACUGAGACACGGUCCAGACUCCUACGGGAGGCAGCAGUGGGGAAUUUUGGACAAUGGACGCAAGUCUGAUCCAGCCAUUCCGCGUGCAGGAUGAAGGCCCUCGGGUUGUAAACUGCUUUUGUACGGAACGAAAAGGUUUCUAUUAAUACUAGGAGCUCAUGACGGUACCGUAAGAAUAAGCACCGGCUAACUACGUGCCAGCAGCCGCGGUAAUACGUAGGGUGCAAGCGUUAAUCGGAAUUACUGGGCGUAAAGCGUGCGCAGGCGGUUAUGUAAGACAGAGGUGAAAUCCCCGGGCUCAACCUGGGAACUGCCUUUGUGACUGCAUAGCUAGAGUACGGUAGAGGGGGAUGGAAUUCCGCGUGUAGCAGUGAAAUGCGUAGAUAUGCGGAGGAACACCGAUGGCGAAGGCAAUCCCCUGGACCUGUACUGACGCUCAUGCACGAAAGCGUGGGGAGCAAACAGGAUUAGAUACCCUGGUAGUCCACGCCCUAAACGAUGUCAACUGGUUGUUGGGUCUUCACUGACUCAGUAACGAAGCUAACGCGUGAAGUUGACCGCCUGGGGAGUACGGCCGCAAGGUUGAAACUCAAAGGAAUUGACGGGACCCGCACAAGCGGUGGAUGAUGUGGUUUAAUUCGAUGCAACGCGAAAACCUUACCCACCUUUGACAUGUAC
rnacentral:rRNA from 1 species